CUUGAAAUACCACCCUUAUUGUAUUGGAUUACUAACGUGUGUAGUUACCCUGCAUGCGGACAUUGUCUGGAGGGCAGUUUGACUGGGGCGGUCGCCUCCUAAAGUGUAACGGAGGCUCACAAAGGUUCCCUCAGGCUGGUUGGUAAUCAGCCGUAGAGCGUAAAGGUAUAAGGGAGCUUAACUGCGAGACUGACGGGUCGAGCAGAUACGAAAGUAGGUCUUAAUGAUCCGGCGGCUCUGUAUGGAAGGGCCGUUGCUCAAAGGAUAAAAGGUACUCCGGGGAUAACAGGCUGAUACCGCCCAAGAGUUCAUAUCGACGGCGGUGUUUGGCACCUCGAUGUCGGCUCAACUCAUCCUGGGGCUGAAGAAGGUCCCAAGGGUUCGGCUGUUCGCCGAUUAAAGAGUUACGCGAGCUGGGUUCAGAACGUCGUGAGACAGUUCGGUCCCUAUCCUUCGUGGGCGUUGGAAAUUUGAGGAGAUCUGCAUUUAGUACGAGAGGACCGGUGCGGACGAACCUCUGGUGUAUCGGUUGUGGCGCCAGCUGCAUUGCCGAGUAGCUAAGUUCGGAAUGGAUAACCGCUGAAAGCAUCUAAGCGGGAAGCCAACUUCAAGAUAGAUUUCCCAUGAGAUAGGUUGUAGACUACAACCUCGAUAGGUCACAGGUGUAAGCACAGCAAUGUGUGCAGCCGAGUGAUACUAAUAUAUCGAUCGACUUAAAUCUUAUUUU
rnacentral:rRNA from 1 species